GGUAUCGCCACCCUUCAAUCUACUACCUGCACACACACACGAAUAGCCAGCGUGUUAUAAAUAUCAAUCUCGAAAGCAUCCAAUCGGCAUUCGAAACGGCCGCCGUGGCGAACGGUAUCAUUGCUGAAUUUCCGAUUAGCGCAAUACGUGUGACAAAGCGACCGACGUAAAUACGACGGCGGAUGACGGAUGUGCCACAGGUGGUGUGUGUUGUUUCACCGCGCACGCACACGGACACCGUACGCAGCGUACACUGGUCUCUACAUACAUACGCGCGCGUAUCCCGGGGAUGCCGAUGACGUGGUUGCUGGUCGCCCCAAGGCCGGUCCGCGGCGAGUCGACAGUCGAGGUCGGCCGCGUUUAUUUAAUCGCUGAUAAAGGCCUGGGUUCUGGCAGCGAGCUAUCCCGAGCCGAACAGCCGGUCGUCGCUCCGACGGUAUCCUCCGGAACCAGGGGCUCGUCGACGCUUAACGGACAUGGACUUGGCUCCCUUGACGAGGGUGGAAACGCGGGGAUGGUGUUCCUCAGUGCUCGCGACGCCGGGCAGGGCGUAGAGAAGCGAUUAGGGACGGGUGAACCCUCAUCUUCCCUCUCGUCGCGCGUCUUCGACGGGCUCUGCGCUCCGUCAGGUAAUGAUCGACGCGGACCAGACGAGGCUCUCUUACCCGACUGGAUAUCACCCCACGGCCAGACCCUGAAACGGAGCAUGCGUCGGGGACCAGGCAGCUAUUAGAUACGCUAAGUCUGUCAAUCGGCUGGAACAGGGUGGAAUUUGAUUCCAUUACUGUGAAUCGUCGCGCAAACACAGACGCUGAUUAUCAUCCGCGGGAUCUUGAAGAACGGACGGCUCAAAAAUUACUAGGAGAGAAGUGUAUUUCUCAACGCUGCGAAACAAUGGAAUUUGCAAUUCUUAGAUUCUUUUCCGCUUUUCCAUCUCUACGGAAAUAUUUAUAUAAAUACGUAUCUGCGAACAAAAAGAUUAUUUAUUGUAAUUGCUGUGUCGCGAGGAAUUUUGAGAAAUGACCCACAAUCAGUUCCCCCCCCCCCCCCAUUAAUUUGUACAUCGCGUGAUAUGCCACUCGUGCCGUAUUAUAUCACGUUUCUAUUAUAAAGUAUAAUAAUACAAAGCUUUGGAUGCCUUGAAUAUUUUAUACGUUUGAGAAUUUUGUUCUUUUGAACUGGCGAAAUGCCUCGUUUAUAAUUGUACGGUAUCCAAUGUAAAAAUGUGUACGAGAUACUUGUUGAUUCUGCUGAAAUGCCUCUAUCGCUCUAUGCUUACAUAAUUUUAUAAUAAUCCAGUAUCGACUAAACAUUCUUGCGACGAUGUCGCAUUAAUUUCGCAAUUAAAGAAAAACAUUUACUCUCUUUCUGUCUUUUCAAGUAUGUAAUAUAACAACGCGGAGGCGAAGAGGAAGAACUUUUUUCAUUAUCAGUUGUGUACUUCCUUUCAAAUAUUACAAAAGAAUUUGUGUUUUAACAAAAUUUAAACUGCAGAAAUAUCAAGUAUGUCAGGUCUGUGUAACAUUGAGCCUGUACAACGCCUUACAAUGAGAGCUGUGAAAAUAUUUUUCGCGCAUUCCGCUCGAUUACGUCAUUAGGAACAGAAUGCCAGCGUGUGCCUCAUAAUUGGUGUCAACUGGUCGCAAUUAAUGACACACGCACGUAGCCGAGCGUCAGUUCCUCGUAAGAUAAGCAGUCGCGUCGUCGUUUCACGUCGACUCGAAUGCAGGAUAAAUUUUUCUCUUUCCUCCCAGGAAUCGCGCACAAUUUCAGAUCUCUCAUUCGAUUCCUUUCCUCUAAGAGUUUCCCUUUCCCACUGUAAUUCGAGGGAAAAGAGCACGCGUCCCAGUGCGCUUCAAAUACGCUUUAGUGGAAAGACGGUUCGGAAAGAUAAUCGCUAAAUAUAGCACAGUGGCGGUUAAUAACAAAGGAUCGAUAUGAUCGCACGGUGAAUAAUUUUUUUCACCGAAGAAACUCACCGCUCGAUUACAGCUAACGUGCAUUUUUCUUCUUUUGCCGUUAAACGACGUUGUGUAUGUGAGCGGCACGUACGACGUGCAUAUGUUAGGUACACGUGCUGUUCACCUGCCUCGUUCAAAGCGAGUCUCUACGACAAGCGGCUACGGUGUAGCGUCUACAAAAGACCAACUUUUUCUUCCUAGUGUUAAUCUUUCUCAGCGCGCCGCUAAUUAUAUUUACUGCAAAACCGUUAUUACAAUUUCAUGUUAUUGUAGAUCAUAAAUAUCGAAGAAACAGAAUAGCGAUCGCGAGUUAAACUUCUUCGAUUGAUAAAAUAGGAUCCUAAUAUGUGACAGCGGGAUUUCUGUUAAAUUAAUAGGCAUCGUCGGUUGACUCCACCACGAAUUUAUUGGCCUUGGCGCGAAAUUUGUUCGGUGGAAAAUUCGUUGUUAAAUUGUGCAGUCGUUGCGAAAGAUUUGCGAUUGAAUUUGGAUGUUGGAAACCUGCUGUCUCAUACUAGAAACCUAUCUCGUAGGACUUUAUUAAUAUAAAUAGAUUUCACGUAUCGUCGAUAUAUCGUAUAUCUUAAAAAGUAGAAGAACAAAUGUAACUAAUGAGUAAAGAGAAUGCUCUUGAAAUCA